ACACACGGCACAAGAUGGCCGGAGAGGCAGCAGCACCCCGAGCUGUCAGGCGUUCCGCCGCGGCCGCGAGGCCCGCCGGCCGGCGGGGAGCUACGCCCGGACGGCCAGCAGGCCCGCGGGAGUGGGGCUGCCGCGGCUGAGGCGAGGCGGGCCGCGCGCGUCGGCGUCACAGCCCGCGGCAGAGGCGCCCAGGGCGGCCGGGCCCACGACGCCGAAAGCGCCGCUGCGGUUGCCGCCUCGGAGGCUCCCCCGGGCCCCGGCGGCUGGACCCGGCGCGGGCGGGAGGCUCGGGCGGGCGGUCCGGCCCGGGACUCGGGUUUGGGCGACCAGGAGGUGCCGGUGGCCGCGCUCGGACCCGGUGAGUGGCUCCCUAGCUCCUUUUAUUGUCCUUUGUCCUUGGGAGGAAAAGCAAAAUGUCCUUGAGCGCGCGAGCAGGAGGGGGCGGCGGGCCGGGCCUCGCCGCUCGGCUCUUCUCGCACUGCCCCUCCGUGGUCGGGGGCCGGCUCUCGCCGGCGGGAUGCGCCUCGGUGCCCUGGGCCCGAGUCGUAGGGUCCUGGGGUAGGGGGCACGCGGGGCCCCGCUGCAGAGCCCGCGGGCGGCAGGUGGGCGGGGGGCAGCCUCGUCGCCGGGACUGGAUCCGCCGGGAAAGGGGCGGCGGGUGAAUGCCGGCGAGAGCCCGAAGGGGAUCGGGCGUGGAGAGCCCCUUUCUGUCCUGGUGAGUUAUUUUGAUAUUUAGGGUAAAAAAAUCCCUUUCAGGUUCUCCAACGGAGGAGCUUUUUAACCUCUUUCCGGUGAGGUGGGAACUCAUCUUCAUGAUCGAAUUUAAAAGAACAAUGGAACCCUGACUACGUUUCAACAAAAAUAAAACUUGUUUUUUUCCCUCCUAUUGGGUGUUGGCUUUUAACUCUUUCAAAGCCGAUUUUGAAACGGCUGCAGUGAUACAUGCGAAGGUACUUGCUGCUUAUUAAACCUUUAUGACGUUAAGGUUGUCUUUGAAAAAUGCAAGUUGGAGGAGUGCUUCUGGUAUUUCAGAAUUACGAAGACAAGUUUACUGUGUCGUCAAGGCUGUUUAAUGGAAAUAGAUUUGAUAAUUACGGUGCUAGCUAGCUGAUGACGUUUGGUUAAUGUAGUUUAUUUUACCGAGUAAUGACGCCAAGAUCAUUUGAUCUCCUGAUAUUUAAAUAUGAUUAAAUACACUGUUUGGUACUUUUUAAAAAGGUCUCAAGGAGCCGUUAUCUGCAACUUCUCACACCUGAAUGUUAGAACGUACUUGGGUCAAUUCCUAGUCUUUAAAAGUUCAUAAUUUAAUUAUUUUUAAGAAUUUAUAUUAUCACAAGCCAUGAUCGAAAAACUUUCACAAAAGAACAUUCUGACACCAAAUCUCUUCCUGAAGUUACUUUCUCGUAAUGUAAAUAUGAAUAAAGUAGGACUGCUCUCGGUAAUGGGCGAUGAAGAGGAGCCAUAUUUGUUGCAUUUGUUGCAUGUAUAAAAAUCUAGAUAUGCUUAAAACGGAACAGUAUUUUAAAAGUACAGGUUUCAUAAAAUUUAGUAGAGUUCUCUGUAUAGUCUCUAAUCUUAGAAAAAUGUUGGAAGGGUAAUUUUUAAGUGUAGUGGUUUGAAGAACAAACCAGAAGCGCACAAACCUUUGUGUAUUUUAGAAUAUAUUUGUCUUCAUUCUGCGGAGCUCUUGUGUUGUAAAGGUGCAGAACUACGUAAAAAUAGUGUUGGGCAGACUUACAUAGUACAUCUGAAAUCAGAUACUGGUUUAUUCGACCAUAUUUCUAAGGGCAUUUUUCCAGUAAAAUUGUUUUAUUUUUUGAGUAGCCUUCCUAUAGUGGUACAUGUUACAUCAGUUGCGCAUAUCUUGAUUUUACAGAAUCUGUCUUAAGUACCAAUUUUGGUUUUUCAAAUCAAUGUUUCUGAAAUUUUUGAACACUGAAAGUGGUUUUAAAUGAAUAUUCUGAAUCUAGUUCUUUAGAAUCCUCUUUGAAUUGUGAAAUGCAAAAUAAUUGUUAGCAGUUUAACCUGAAAGAUCUUUUUACAUGAUAAAUGGGGGAGGAGAAAGACUGAAAUGAAAAUGUUGAAGACCCUGAUUUGAAAUUGAGUGUAAAGGUCUAGAUACUGUAAGUUUUAGAGUAGCUUUAGAGACAAAGCUAGUAUCCCACUUGGUGAGAUCAAGUAACUUGUGGUUUAAAAUUUAAAGUAACCAGUGGCCAUUUUAACUUCACUAAUUUCUCUUGGAGGAGCUAAUUUUUAAUUGCUCAUGAUUGUAAAACAUACUUCCGGAUGGUAAGGGAGAUGUUAAGAUGAUUUGUCUUGAAGAAUGGUAAACUUUUUCUUUGUUUAUUGCCUGUCAUAAAAAGAGGGAAAGUAAAAAAAAAAAGGUUCAUAAUCUUAAAUCAGUCCAAAAAUUUGAAUUUUCUGUAUUUCUGUUUAAUUCAAUGCGUUAAUCUUUAGCAUUGGUCAAUACAGCCAAAAGAUGAGGAAAACAAAGACUGAUAGAUACUAAGAUAAGAAAUAACUGCAACCAUAAAUGUAUACAGGUUAUGUGUCCAUGAGCCAUCUCUUCAGUUUGCCCAUAGAUUUUUGUCUGUGGAAUAUUUUCUUGUUUCAUCACACUGAAUCGUUGGCCAAGAAAUGCUUGAAAAUCAAAACAUUAAUAUCAUCUUUCUUCUUUUUUUUAAAGGUGACUUAAGAGAUUAAAAUUAAUUUGGUUGCUGUUGGUUCUGAACAAAUAAUGAGUUCUUUUAUUUGAGGUAUGCCAUUUUGAAGACUGAGACGUUGGAGUUUUAUCCUAGAGGAUAAAGGAAAUCUUUGGGAAAGUCAGUAUUUUAUAUAGCAAAUUUGAUUGUGGAGCGGCAUAAGGGGGAGAAAGAUAAGUUGAGGACGUCUCUUUAUCUUUUGUUAAUCAGAGGUGGUGAUAGAGUGGAAAAUAUAACACGUUUCGGCAUUCAGGAGACCUACCUUCCAAUAAAUAUGAACCUCAAACUGAAUCCUCUAAAGGCCCCAUACAAUGAAGUAGACAUUGGUGGAAACAUUUAGUAAGUAUUAUUCAAUUUACAUGUUUAAUCUGUUUAGAAAUUUUAAAUACUACUUUGGAAAUUUUGAAAAUUCGAGUCAGAAUUGUAAAGAGGGAUUUAGUGAAACUCAACACAGUACAAGAAAAUCAACAUGGAAAUUUCGCUUAUUAAUUUACUCCAAUCUAUUAUUUUCUGCUUUCUUCACUUAGGCAAGUUAAAAUGCAAACAAACCCACAUUUGAACAUACCUCUAACACUAUUAUAAACAUGGAUGUUGCUAAAUGGUUCCUCUUUGUUUUUGUAAAUAAAGUUUUAUUGCAGCACAGCUAUACGCUUUCAUUUAGUUAUUGUUUGCCGCUGCUUUCUCAGUAUAUAGCAGCAGCAAGCAGAGGAGUUCUAUUGAAUGGCCUACAAAGCCUAAAAUAUUUCCUGUCUCAUCUGUAGGGAAAGUUUAUCCUAGGUCCUACAGCUUUUCCUUUUGUCAGCAUUGCCUUAACCUGUAUAGAACUCAGAAGCCCUUCGGUUCUCUUUUGGUAAUAGAACAUAAUUUUUAAUGAUUUCCAAUAUUAUAAUUACUUUUAAUUAAUUAAUUUUGAAGUUAAACUUGAAAGCCCAACAAAAAGUUCUUUAGCCUGAUUGUCCCUGAAGUUAUGCUUUGAUGUUAGAAGACAUGGUUAGCACCUCUGAAAUAGUUUUUCUAACAGCCUGAAAAAUAGUUGGAAAGAGUUGAUGGGAAGGUUGUAUAAAUGAAUUUUGGUGAAUUCUCAACAUGAUUUAUUUAUUUUUAUUUUAUUUUUCGAGACAGAGUUCCACUGUCACCCAUGCUGGAGUGCAGUGUCAUGAUCUUGACUCAUCGCAACCUCCGCCUCUGGGGCUCAAGCGAUUCUCCUGCUUCAGCCUCCAGUGUAGCUGGGAUUACAGUCACGCACCACCAUUCCCAGCUAAUUUUUGUAUUUUUAGUAGAGAUGGGGUUUCCCCAUGUUGGCCAGGCUGGUCUCGAACUCCUGACCUCAGGUGAUCCACACGCCUCAGCCUCCCAAAGUGCUAGGAUUACAGGUGUGAGCCACCGCACCUGGCCAACAUGAUUUAUUAUUGACAACCUUUUUGGUAAUUAUAUAUUAGCUACUUCAUAAAAAUAAUUUUUUUGAAUCAUAUUUGGGAAUCUAGAUUUUAGAUGAUAAUUUUUGCCUAUGGCUACUUUAGCUUGCGUUGUGUAAAUGGCUGCUAGGGCCUGCGAAAUAGAUUUUAUUUUUGGAGGGGGAUUUGUUUUUCAAUACAGGAUGAUGAAAGAGAUGAAAACUUUUCUAAUAUAGUACAAUAAUUGGCUGUGGUCAUUUUAAAGGGAUCAGUUGCAUAGCAUAUAGUAGAUGCUCAAUAAAUACUUAGUGUAUCAAUAUGGCUUCUGUUAAACAUUGUUUAUCAGCUAGUGUUUUGGAUUUAAUUUAAAAACAGUGACAUUGACUAUUAAAACAUGUUUUAAUGAAUUAAAUAUAAAAUUGUAGGUAUGCCUGAAAGCCAAAGUUUUGACCAAGUAAAAAUUAAAAGUGACAAGAUUUCAUUUUUUCUCUGCAAUUCUCAAUCUCUUAGUUUGCAUAUAUAGUCAACUUUUAAACCAUUGAGGACGGUACCGGAAUAUUUGAUUUGAUUGUAAACCUUAAAUAAGAUGACUCCUUUUCUUAGUUGUCACAAUUGACAUUAAUUUUAUAGUUAGUUUUUAUGCCCAUAAGACCCAGACUUGUUAAUAUAUAUUCUACUGAAGAUUCAAGGUAUCUUGGUAAUAAGUCAACAUAUGUGAAUUUACUUCUCAGGGCUUCCUUUUUUUUUUUUUUUCCCCUGAGACGGAGUUUCACUCUUGUUGCACAGGAUGGAGUGUGGUGGCGCGAUCUCAGCUCACUGCAACCCCUGCCUCCCGGGUUCAAUUGAUUCUCCUGCCUCAGCCUCCCCAGUAGCUGGGAUUACAGGCAUGUGCCACCACGCCCAGCUAAUUUUUGUAUUUUUAGUAGAGAUGGGGUUUCACCAUGUUGACCAGGUUGGUCUCGAACUCCUGACCUCAGGGGAUGUGCUGGCCUUGGCCUCCCUAAGUGAUAGGAUUACAGGUGUGAGCCACCGCACCCAGCCUCUCAGGGCUUUCUUGCAUAAAUAUUUCCACAUUUAAAGACAGUAGACGAAGAUUGAAAUCAUCAUAAGCACCAAGAAUGUUAAUUACAUGAUGAGAAGGAUGAAUUUUUGCUCUAGGUAAUUUUACACCUGUUUGUCCCAUCAUUGACUUUGAAAUAAGUGUUUUAAGUUUUAAAAUAAUUUGUUGCAUUAAUAAUAGUAGCUUUAUGAUAGCCAUCCAUUAAGACAAUUAGGAAUCACUAAUUUCUUUUUCCUUAUACUACUCUCUGCCCCUGCCCCCCGCCCCAUUUUUCUUUGCUAUUAAAAAUGGGAAAAGUUGCUGAGAAGUAGAGGAAAGGAGAUGGUUUAUUUUAGGAGAGCCCUUGUAAACUCAAUCCAGAUGGUGAAUCACUUACCUGUGUAUCCACCAACAAUGUAUUUUAUCAUGUCCCAGUGUUUUUGGAACAAAUUUACUAAAGUAGAAUUUAAAAAGAAUACCAGGCCAGGUGCAGUGGCUCAGGCCUGUAGUCCCAGCACUUUGGGGAGGCUGAGGGCAGGUGCAUCACAAGGUCAGGAGUUCGAGACCAGCCUGGCCCACAUAGUGAAACCCCGUCUCUACUAAAAUUACAAAAAUUAGCCAGGCAUGGUGAUAUGCGCCUACAGUCCCAGCUACUUGGGAGGCUGAGGCAGGAGAAUCGCUUGACCUGGGAGGUGCAGGUUGUGGUGAGCCGAGGUUGCGCCACUGCACUCCAGCCUGAGGAACAGAGAGAGACUCCGUCUCAAAAAAAAAAAAAAAAAACCUUAGUUGGGUGCAGAGGCAUGUACUUGUGUUCUCAGCUACUGGGAAAGCUGAGGUGGGAGGAUCUCUUCCACCCAGAAGUUUGAAACCAGCCUGGGCAACGUAGUGAGACCUCCAUCUUAAAAAAUAAUUAAAAAUACAAUGAAGAGAAUACCUCCAUGUUCAACUUUAUGUUCUUCUGGAUGUAUGAUAAUGCGGGAAUUUUAAGGGGUAGUAGUUACUCAUUGAAGCUUUGUUGCCAUUUAAGUUUUUACCUUUGCUGUGGGAAUGGUACUCUUAGAACAUGCACAUUAUUUUGAAAAGGAAGUAUAAACUAGUGAAUAUCAAAGGGGAAAAAUUUUGUUAACCAUUUAUAUUAUGAGCUUGAAGGUUAUAUGUGAAAUACAGAAAAGAUCUAGGUUUGUCUGAUUAUGGAAUUCUAGAUCAAAACAUGUCUUCCAUGUCUGCAGUAAUUCACAAGUUACUGGAAAGGAACAUGUAGAGGGUUUUGAUAUCUAAACCCUACCCAGUUUUCUGUAGGAUCUUGAUUUUAUUUUAAUGCAAGACUGCUGACCCCAUGAUCCUGUGUGUUCUUCAGAGAUACUCUUACUGAUGAUGUAUAAAUGAACUUUGAUUCAGUAAGGUCAGUUUGUAGGUCUCAAAGUACUUUGGUUAUUGUGGUACAUCAGAAUGAUAGCUAGUAUUUACUGAGAUCUUUCUAUAUGUCAGGUAAUAAAAAUCCUAUAAAAGUAUUCUUUCUACAGCCACAGGAGGUAGGUACUAUUUUUAUUUUACAGAUGAAGAACUGUGGAUUUUGUUUCUAAGAAAAUUUCCAGGCUCACAGAACUAAGCCUAAUUUCUUUUUAUUUUUUAGCAAAUACAGUUUUUAUAAGAAUUUGAAUUCUAUGAAAAUAAAUGGAUUACUCCUAAAUCUCUGAUGCCUCAGUGAACACUUUUUCCUUAUUAACAAAAUUCUCACUUUUGGCUUUGGAUUGGCUUUGCAGGAGUGCAGAUUGAUCAUAGCUUUUUUCAUGUCCUAAGAGUUGUCAGAGUUUUCUCUUGUAGCAUUUUUUUCUUUACUUUUUUUUUUUACUAUCUUUAAAUAUAUGACUGUAAGAGUAUGAUAAAUAUGCUGUUUUCUAAUCUCUGCUGUUGUCACAUAAACUAAUAUAUUUUGAGUAAUUUUGAAAUGAUAUUAAUAAUGUCAUUAGAUUUUCUUUGGAUUUUUUGAAAAAAAUAAUGGUUUUAGAAGGAAAUCUGGAUAAAUUUUAUCUCUGUCCUGUGUCAGAAAAAUAUAAAACUUGAGUUUUUUAAAUUAAGGUACUAAGAUAAAUAAAUUGCAUCUAUAGAUAUUGAAAUAUGACUGUAAUUUGAUAAUGCAUUUUCAUUCUCAGUGUCAUUGUUCAUCAUAAUAGUAUUUACAUCACCAACUUCAUUUAGAGCUUGAAUCUUGUAACAAUAGAGAUUGAAAAUAAAUUGGUUUAUAAUUAACUCUGACAGAGAAUGAUGUUUUUACUUUUAUACUUCUCUAUAGAAGUACAUGUCCCUUAAUUUUAAGGAAUGAACAAGUCAGAUGGAAGAUUUUUACUGAGAUCAGGAAUGAAUUGAGUAAUUUAGUUUUCUUUUUAAAGCUGGGGAGAAAUGAGCAAAAUCAAGGAGAAAUAUCUUGCUUUUGAUAUUUAUUACUGAUGCUGUGACACUCCCUUUAAUCAAUGUUUUUUAAUAUGGGUGGCAGUAUCUCAGUUAACCAAAUAGUUAAGUAAGUAGAUUUUUGUAUUGUAUAUAGUAAACAGUAUCCUAAUUGUUGCCAAGGAGACAAGGAAUUACCUAAUGGGCAAAAAUGCCCUUAUAUUUAUUUACCUCAAAUUCAGUCACACUUGACUGUAUCUCCACAAAUUCAGAUGGAGAGCUGGAAAAUUUAUAGAGAAGACCAGGGUUUAAAUCUUGUUUUUUCAAAUUAUGUUUGGUCAUGAUGAAUCUGAAUCAUUUAUUUAAUGAUAAAAUCAUCUGACUUCUCACUUCUCACUUCUCCCUUCAGUUAAAAUUAUUUAAGUAAUGGAUUUGUUUUUCUAUGAGAGACAUUUGGUAUUUUGGUAAUGAAAGUGUAUUAUUUUAGUUGCAUAUAAUUUGAAAACAGCAUUUUAUGGCAAAUCUAUCAAGCCAGGCAGAUACUUUGCAUUUUUGAUCUUUUUUUUUUUUUUUUUUUUUUGGUGGCUACAUCUUUUCUGUAUUCUCAGAUAUGUCGUUAAAGAUGGUGCCACCUAUAGUGGCCAUUUUCGUUAUCUAAACAAAACCAACAUCUGUUGGAUUGAAAAACUAUGCUAUGAUCGACUGCUUUAUGUGUGUAUGUUUUUUUUUUUUUUCAAAUCCCUUAAGAUUCUUUUCUAUAAUUAGUUUUCUUUGAAGAAGCUUGGAAAGUUUUCUGCAUUGAGAUUUAGAAUCCACAGUGUUUCUGUAAUUUAGCUUUCCAGGAAUUUUGAAUUUUAAUUUUUGUUUUUACUUUUUAUGUACACAGUAUAAUGAUGUUAGUGUUAAAUAUUAAAAAUCUGACUCUUCACUGGGACUUUUUUAUAGAUACAAAUGUAUCUGUGGUAGUACAAGGACUUUGUUACUUUGGCGUGCAGUCUUAUCAAGGAGUUGUGUGUGUGUUUUGCAUACAACUUUACAAUUUCAUAGUUGAAAGCUGUUACAAAAUGAAAGUUUUGUGUAUGGUAGGAUAUCUUCAAGGUGGGUGGAUGUUUUCUGUUUAAAAGAUUAAGAUGCCAACAGCGUUUUUUUCUUUUAAUUUUUUCAUCAAGCACCCAGUCAGCUUGAAGAGUUUCAAAUGGACCCUACCACUGAGAAAUCAAGAUGGCAGUCUACUAUGGGGAAUUGAGGAAAAAUGGAUUAAUACAAGAGUCCUGUGAUAAUAUACAACCAAGACAGGGUUCUUUUAACAUGGAUUCCAUGCAGUGAAUGAAGACAUAGGUUUCUUACCCAACACAAAUGGACAGUGGAUUUGACUUUCUAAAGACUUUUUUUGUGGACAUUUUGACAUUUGGAGAAGAAAGAUGGCACACUAACCCAGAUAAUAGUUUUUAUGCCUGGAAUUUUUUGCAGUUUGAUUUGUAUGCGUAUGACCUCUUGAAAUGUUAAUUUUUAAUAAAAUUUGUAACACUUAAAAAUUUCUCAGUUUGGGUUUUUUUUUUUAAGUGGAAGUUUAAUUAAAUGUUUAGUUUUAUUUUAGUAAUACUUUGGCCUUUGUAGUUGCCGAGUGGUAAAGUGUACUGAAUAUGAAUAAAGCUGGUAAAUUGGAAAUGGUGUAAUCGAAAACAUUUUACUUGGUUUAUGAAGAUUUACGUUUUUCACAAAGUUGUGCUCUUAGAUGGUCAUUUGGUUUAAAUACUGUUUUGUUUGUGCUUUCAUGAAACACCUUUCAAAACAACUCAAUGGGUAAUAAUAGAAUCUGAUUUUAAUCUGCCACAAGAUUUUAAUGAACUUGAAACAAACUGCUUGUUGCUCGAAAAUUCAGGAUGAGUGAUACACAUAUACUUCUGAAUUAUUUUGUGUUGAUUGAAAUGGUUUCUUAAGCUUUUUAAUACUAUAAAUACAUCUUGCUAUAGAAUAUUCAUCUGAAUAUUUAAAUUAAUGUCUCCUAUUGUCUUACUAUUAGAGGAAGAAGUGUUGGAUUUAUGGGUUAGGGUCCUUGGAGUAUUCACAAUUUUUUAAAUUUGAAAUUAUGUGUGUAAUCCAUUUUAUAUAACUUUGAAGUAGGAUUAAUAUCUUGUAUCGUCUUUAUUUUGUACAAUUGGGGAUUUAGAAUAAAUGAAUUGCACCCUGCCAUAGAUUACUUACGUUUGAUUUUUAAAUGCCAGGUUUUCAUUUAUUACUAAUCAACUGAUACCAGUUUUGGUAACUAUUACAAAGGUGGUAGGCAUUAUUUUGGUAGACAAAAUGAGUUCUUGAUUCUGUUUUCCCAUUUUACAUGAGAAGAAUAAAUAGUUCAGGUUAAAUUGUUUUGUGUUAAUCAUACUGUUUGUGAUUCAUGUCAAAUACUGCAGCAUACACAUCCAUGGUUAAUACACGAGCACCAUUUGUUAUUGACUGAUGUGAGGUGGUUGGUCUUUGUUAAAUUCAAAAAUGGAAUUUUGGAUAUUGUUCUUGCUACGAAAUUUAUCUUUGUGUGUAGAGUAUGGAAUUGAAACAGUUUGGAUUAUGGAUUUUACCUAGAUUGGACAUUGUUGAUUUUGUUUGGUGUAAAUCUAAAGUGGAUUUCUUCAGUGAGGGAGAGACAUGGUUCUGGCAGAUUAUGUUGAAUAAGGAAAGUUGAUUGGAUUUUUUUGGGUGUGUGAAUAUGCUUGUCUGAAUGGAGUGCUUGGUAGGAUAUUGUUUCUGGAAUUAGUAAUUUGUUUCUGUGGAUCUCAUGGUUUUGAUAUUUAGGAGAAUUUGCUUUGUGACAUUACUUUGAUAAUUUGCAAUCACGUAUGUCCUAUUGUUAAUAACAUUGUUGAAAUGGGUGUAUACUUACUUGAUUUGAAAUAUAAGGGAAGUGUUGGGAUAUGUGUUUUCUGUUGGAUUUGGACGUGGAGUUUCUUGGGUUACUGAUUUAAAGGUGAUCGUGUUUGGACCAUACUCUUGAAUUUUUGCCUGAAUCAGUAUGGGAAGUAAAUAUAUUGUGAUUAUGAGAAGUUUCUUUGGGGGGAGGAGUGUAAUAUUUUCAAGGUUAUAUAAUGGGUUAAAGAAUUUUGUGAAAGAACAAAGAAAAAUGGAUAUUCUUGAAUAAAAAUUGGUUGCAUUAACUUUUGCUCCAGUGCAACUUGAACACUAGGGAGGCGCUCUUGAGUUGUAAAAGUUACCCCUUUCUUCCAGUGGAGAUGGAAAAUUCCCCCUUAAAUUUUGUCUUUAGAUUAUUUUUAGGCAUCAUAAAGAAGGAAAAACUUGAAUUUAUAUUAUGAAAUUAAGGUUUUACUUUUAUUUAGCAAUCAUUUCACCCAUUGGGGGAUUAAUUUUUAAAAAGAUUAGUACUUAGCUGAGCUUUAGAUUCUCUAAGAAUUAUCCCUUUUUCAAAAUGGCUUGAUAAAACACCACUUCCUGUCCAGGGAGGAAGUUAUUUUAGCUCAAGGACUGAAAUAUUUAGCAGAUCUUUAGACAAAAGGAACAAAUUACAUUUCUCUCUGGCUUAAAAAGGGUGCUUGAGCCAGAGGGGGUUAAGAAGCCCUCCCCCCUCCCCCUGUUGGGGUGGUCUGGAGGGGCAGGGAGGUGUGGGGGUGGGGGUCCUUAGGCUCCCUGGGAUGGAGGAUCUGUCUCUCUCUCUCUCUCUCCU
rnacentral:lncRNA from 1 species